rnacentral:pre_miRNA from 1 species
UAAUAAUAGUGAUGAUGACGAUGCUGUCAACCAGGAAAUUUUUCCUUCACAUAAGAGGAAAAAUUUCCUGGUUGACAGCAUCGUCAUCAUCACUA